GAUAUGAAUAUGUCGUAUAGGUCACUAGAGGUGACUCCGACUUAUAUGCUAGUCAUGAUUGAUGAGAUAUGAACAUGUCGUUUAGGUCAAUAGAGGUGACUUCGACUUACAUGCUAGUAUAUGUAAUGAAUACGUGACGAGCUAGCCUAGGUGAUGAAAUAUGGGAGGAACUAUUAUAUAUAAUGAGUUAUGGAUAAGUCGUACAGGUCACCCUAGGUGACUUCUACCUGCGUAUUAUUAUGAGUUAUUAAUCACAUGAUUAUUUGAUAUUAUGGAUGAGAUGCUGUGUUGUGUUACAUUAUCAUUUCUCUGGAAAUUAUACAGGUGUUGUAGUGAGGGAUUACAUGUUUUAUAUGUUUUUCUAUUAGUAUGUUACUUACUGGGCCACUCACCCUUGUCCUGUCUUCACCCUUCAGGUAUUAUUAGCUGAGUUUUAUUUUCACCAAAGACUCGCGGCGAUUCUUAUUAUCGGAGACUAUUUCGAGGAUGUCACACCUCAUUAAAACCCGGAGGGCGAUGACUUCUACACUUAGUCCAACGACUACACCUACUACUGCCGCUAUUGCUCCGGCAGAGAUGGACCAUAGGCCGGUUAAUUCGGUUGACCCAGUUGGUCCUUCAGUCCCAUAUGCACAUGCAUCAUCAACUUCUUCGGUGGUGUUAGCUGUUAACGCCCGACGUACUCACCGGCGCCCCCGUACUACGGACCAGAUGUCACCAUCGGGAUCCACAACCGAUGCCUCAGGUACACGGCCAGCGAAGAAAAACACCCGGGGACCUUGUCGACAAUUGAAGACAGCAAAGGUCACCCGGGUGACCAACAGUCAUAUCUCAAUCGAAUACAAUGAGCGACAUCGGGUAGCACCAACUGCGGAGCAGCAUAGUGCAUUGGCCCACAACAUUGGGCAUGUCGUGCGAACCUUUUGCCCUAUGCGGUGGAAGUCUUGGAAGGCGAUGCUAGAGGAGAUGAAGAACACGGUGCGCAACCAAUUGUCCAUAAACAAACUACGAUUUGGAGGACAUGGACAAGGACAUGUUCGCAUACCUCAAUCGGCUUUUCUCCGAAUGCUACAAGCAGUCGAAGAGCGACCUGCACCAAUGUUUCCAGCAAUUUGAUGAUCCGCAGGUCGCUCUCGAGGAGGGUUGUCUGAAAGAGUUGGAGAAUCAACAAGAUAGUUGGGUUUGGCUUUGCAGUCAUUUUCAAUAGCCGGGCUAUGUGAAGAAGGCGAAGGCGUGUUGUGUGACCGUCGUAGGCCACU